GGGCGCUUGGCACAGUGGUAGCGCGCACGCUUCGCAUGUCGCGUCUGCGUGAGGUCCAGGGUUCAAUCCCCUGAGCGUCCA
rnacentral:tRNA from 1 species